rnacentral:tRNA from 1 species
AAGAUACUAGUAAAAUGUUUAUUACACUACCUUGUCAAGGCAGAAUUGCGAGUUAAAGCCUCGCGUAUCUUG